UUUCCGUAGGUGAACCUGCGGAAGGAUCAUUAACACGUUUCAUACGUUACCAAACAAACCCCAUCGGUUUUCGGAUCGAUGGGCACUAAACAACCAUAGCCCCUUCACCGGGGCCUGCGUAGUUAUGUGGGUUUGUUGAAAGACCAACACCGUUCCCAGAUCUCUGGGCACCACGUUGAGUAGUACUCUCAUUGGGAGAUUUGUACCUUUGGGAGGAAACCACAUGUUGGCGAAAAGGUUGCGGACUUGAGACGAUCCACAUUUUGUUAACCUUUCUUUCUAUUAUUAUUAUUUUUUGUUUUGAGAGAUGUCAUCUCGUAUGAUGUCUUUUAAUACAAACUCUGUACAACUCUUAGCAACGGAUGUCUUGGUUUCC
rnacentral:misc_RNA from 1 species